AGGGGUGCUCGUCGCUGAAGCCGCCACGGAUGUCAGCGGAUGUCAGCGCUCACGUGCAAACACAGUGCUCCGUAAUCCUGCAGCCACAGCCUGAGGACGGUCACAUGCCACCCCUGUGUCCCCCAGGGCCACACCAAGCCUGUUGCUGUCAGAGGGCUGAGCCUGGGUUUGCCCCGUGGAGAUGUGGAGACGAAACAAGCUAAACUACAGCAUUUCAAAGGCGCCUGGAAUUCUGGUCUCCGUUUUGGAACACUCCUCCUUGCGGGCUCAAUAUGCUGAAUCUUGAAGACACAAGAUGCUAGGACCCAGGGCUAAUGGGACACAGAAGACAAGGGCUGCCCGAAUAAAUACCAUCACCGUUCAAAAAAGAAAAAAAAAAGAUUCUCUCUCUCUCUCCCUUUGCCCCCCCCCACUCUCUCUUGAA